UACAGAGGGGGCAAGCGUUGUUCGGAAUUACUGGGCGUAAAGGGCGCGUAGGCGGCCAACUAAGUCGGACGUGAAAUCCCCGGGCUCAACCCGGGAACUGCGUCCGAUACUGGAUGGCUUGAAUCCGGGAGAGGGAUGUGGAAUUCCAGGUGUAGCGGUGAAAUGCGUAGAUAUCUGGAGGAACACCGGUGGCGAAGGCGGCAUCCUGGACCGGUAUUGACGCUGAGGCGCGAAAGCGUGGGGAGCGAACAGG
rnacentral:rRNA from 1 species